GUGCUCUCUUUGGCAGCACAUGUACUAAAAUUGGAACAACACAGAGAAGAUUAGCAUGGCCCCUGCACAAGGAUGACAUGCAAAUUCAUGAAGCAUUCCAUAUUUUU
rnacentral:snRNA from 1 species